rnacentral:rRNA from 1 species
UACGGAGGGUGCAAGCGUUAAUCGGAAUUACUGGGCGUAAAGCGUGCGCAGGCGGUUUGUUAAGUCCGCUGUGAAAUCCCCGAGCUCAACUUGGGAAUUGCAGUGGAUACUGGCAAGCUGGAGUAUGGUAGAGGAAGGUGGAAUUCCCGGUGUAGCAGUGAAAUGCGUAGAGAUCGGGAGGAACACCAGUGGCGAAGGCGGCCUUCUGGACCAGAAUUGACACUCAAGCACGAAAGCGUGGGGAGCAAACAGG